AUUGAACGCUGGCGGCAUGCCUUACACAUGCAAGUCGAACGGCAGCACGGGCGCUUGCACCUGGUGGCGAGUGGCGAACGGGUGAGUAAUACAUCGGAACGUACCUUAUCGUGGGGGAUAACGCAGCGAAAGUUGCGCUAAUACCGCAUACGCCCUGAGGGGGAAAGCGGGGGACCGUAAGGCCUCGCGCGAUUAGAGCGGCCGAUGUCUGAUUAGCUUGUUGGUGAGGUAAAAGCUCACCAAGGCGAUGAUCAGUAGCUGGUCUGAGAGGACGAUCAGCCACACUGGGACUGAGACACGGCCCAGACUCCUACGGGAGGCAGCAGUGGGGAAUUUUGGACAAUGGGGGCAACCCUGAUCCAGCAAUGCCGCGUGAGUGAAGAAGGCCUUCGGGUAGUAAGCUCUUUUGUCAGGGAAGAAACAGCAGCUCUAACACAGUCUGCGAAUGACGGUACCUGAAGAAUAAGCACCGGCUAACUACGUGCCAGCCGCCGCCGUAA
rnacentral:rRNA from 1 species